GAAGGCCUGUGGUGGUUGACCAAUCUGCUCUGGGCUGUUCCAGGAGCCUCCAGAGAACAAGAGGUAAACCAGCAUACAUUGAGUUCCACUGCCUUCAUUAUGGAAACUGCAUCUGUAACAACUUUGCAACCAGGCAGUACCUGCCCAGGAAAGCUGUCUCCUUCGGAGAGCUUGCAGCAUUGAUCUGGAAGAUGCUAUUAUGGUGUCUCCCACCCAUGCCCACAGGAUGCUCUCACUCAUUCAGGUUCUCAGCUGCCUGUCAGACUGGGCCAUGAUGAAACUCAACAUCUUGCAGAGACGUAAAAUGGAAAAUAGGCAACUCAUCAGAAAAGUAGCAGCUGUUUUACACCAUCACAAAACAAAAUCAUCAUACACUAAAAACUAGAUUUAGCAGUUUAAAAGAGCCGCUAACACAAAAUUAGCUGGAGACAACAGCGUGAUUUUGUAACUGACAGUGCUUCAUUCAAACGCCCUAAUUCAUGUAAAAACUACUUAGCAAACAUUAAA